UACAGAGGUCUCAAGCGUUGUUCGGAUUCAUUGGGCGUAAAGGGUGCGUAGGCGGCGCGGUAAGUCGGAUGUGAAAUCUCGGAGCUUAACUUCGAAACUGCAUUCGAUACUGCCGUGCUUGAGGACUGGAGAGGAGACUGGAAUUUACGGUGUAGCGGUGAAAUGCGUAGAUAUCGUAAGGAAGACCAGUGGCGAAGGCGACUUUCUGGCCUGUUCUUGACGCUGAGGCGCGAAAGCUAGGGGAGCAAACGGG
rnacentral:rRNA from 1 species